UACGGGGGGGGCAAGCGUUGUUCGGAAUUACUGGGCGUAAAGGGCUCGUAGGUGGCCAACUAAGUCAGACGUGAAAUCCCUCGGCUUAACCGGGGAACUGCGUCUGAUACUGGAUGGCUAGAGUUUGGGAGAGGGAUGCGGAAUUCCAGGUGUAGCGGUGAAAUGCGUAGACAUCUGGAGGAACACCGGUGGCGAAGGCGGCAUCCUGGACCAACACUGACGCUGAGGAGCGAAAGCCAGGGGAGCAAACGGG
rnacentral:rRNA from 1 species